ACACACACACACACACACACACACACACACACACACACCUUUCAGAAAAUGUCUGACUCUCUAUGGGUUACCAACUCUAAUCAGCCAUUCAAUCAUUUGUCUACUUAUACAACAAAGCAAAUGACUGUAUUGUUUAUAAACAUUUUUUUUCCGACCAAUCGCAACCGUUUUCUAUUCAAGAUUUUUUUAAACAGCGGUAUAAAAUGUAAAGCGCAUUUUCGGAGUCGUGAUUUGAGGUGUAACAAGCUAAGAUGACGGGUAAGUUUUUAACUUAAGACGCAAAUCUUUUUUUUCUCUUUCUGGUUUAACAUCUUUAUUUUCAGACGCUAUUGUCAUAUCGGACGACGAGUGGGAAGAAAUUCCUAUAGAGGAAUUAACUUGUAAAACACCGGUAGCUUUUCACCUGGAUGAUUUGUCUAAAAUUAACCGUGCGGUCGACAAUCUGAAAAAGGAGGGGGUUCAACCUUACCCCGGAAGUGAUAACUUUUACCCAACCACGCCUCCAUCCACCAGCCGAACCGUCUUACAUUCGAAUCAGCCCAGCCAGACCGUCAGAUCACAAGCGAACGCGAAAGCUGUUCGUUACAGGACCAUCACACCACAGACGAUCCUCGAAGCUGAGCAACGGCCGACGGCCUACGCACCCCCAAUAUCUCAGCCCCCACCACCUCCACCCCCUUCUACUGCGCAGACGGAUGGUAACGAUAAAAAACAACUGAUUAAUAAGUCAAAGAUGACUCGUUCACAUUUACCGUUGUUUUUAUCCUUUCAGAACAACAUCCGACAGCCGCUUCAAUAUCUCUGCCCACACCUCCUCCUCCUCCUCCCCCUUCUCCUGCACAGGGUAAGAUAUAUAUAAAAAGGUGGUUAUU